UUUACACCUUUGUAUAUUGGCCAAUUAUAUCUUGACAUCUCUAGGUUUCAAUCUUCACAUUCAUUCUAGGUUUAGGUUUAUAUUCAUAUAUAUCAUCUUACACAUCUUACACAUGGCUUAAUAUAAUUCUUUGCAUAUCUCAUGUGGACCUUCUUAUAAUUGCUGCAAACAUCUGGCUGGUUUUGAGAUUGCUGGUUUAUAGAAACAAUUGGCACAAGUAGUUUAUGGAAACAAUUGUGGUUUUAUGAUUACUUUUCCAAUGUUUUUUCAUUUGUCAAAGUUUUUCUCUCUCUUCCCCCCCCCUCUCUCGUAAGCUCUCACUCUUUCUCCUCACACUUUCAUCUCUCAUUCUCCUCCCCCAUCUCAUCCUUCACCAUAACAUCCACACCACAGCCUCCACCACCAUCGACAAAUCAAUCACUCGUAAGGGUGAGGGAGUGGCCGAGUGAGAGAAGCCGGCGGGAGAGAAGUUCUGGCGAGGAGGAGGAGUUCCGGCCGAGAGAGUUCUUGUGGCCGUUUGUGGUGACACGGCGGUGCUUGGCAACGGCGGCAAUGAAGCUUCUUGCUCCUUCUUUCCUCUGGUUCGAUCUCAAAUUGCUCCAUGGAAGGAUAAGGCUCCUCCAUGAAAUUUGAUCUUUGGAUGUUAAUAAACUCAGGUGACUAGAAAAAUCACUAUGACCACAAUAUCAGAAAGAGAUGAAUGAUGGUUGGGUUGGUUUGGAAAAGGCACCUGAUGGAUCUUUCAAGAAGAAGAUUCUGGGGUCAAUCUGGAAGGCUCCGCUCUAAAGUUGAGAAAGGAACUUUUGGACGAGGUAUUCCAUAGACCAAGCAGGAAAGGUGCAUGCAGAAUUAGUGUAGUAGACAAAGCCAAUGUGUAUGGAAAGGGAAGCAAUAAGAUAAAUUUUCGAGAAUCUGUUUCGUAUUGAAAAAAUGGAGCUAGAAUGGAGCAUUUUUGUUGAAAUGGAUUCAGGCCAGCAAAUAAAGCUGCAGGGAUGGCAUCUAGAGAUGGUGAUCUUGAUUUGAAUCUUUCACAGCCUAGGUCUGGACAGUUGUCUACCAGACAAAUUACAUCAAGUCCAGAAGCAAAACCUUUGGAUUUUGUGAUCCGCCCCCAGUCUAAAAUUGAUCCUGGUGAAAUUAGAGCACAUGCAAAACAAUAUGAAUAAGAAAUUGCAGCAGUUGAGGGCUCCAAAAAAGAAGCAGCUUCAAGCUACAAAGCUGAGUGUGGAAUGUCGUAGUAUGGUCAAAUACUUAUGAAUGCGGCUAAUAUUGCUUUUUAGGGGAGUGUGGAUAGGUAUUUAUGGUUACUACUAUUUUAUAAGGAUGACUACAUCACCAUUGCUACUUUUUAGGAAGUCUUGAGCAUCCAAUCCUAUAUUUUUGCAUAACUCCUUCACUAAUCCACGCAUAUUUUCUCAUUGAUCAAAUACACCAAUCUUCUAAUUUUCUUUUCUAUUCAUCUCCUCUGCGUUUUGUCUAUCCUAUCUCAACACUGUCUUCUUCUAACCCUUCAUUUUCCAUAUGGCAUCCUAUCUCACAUAAUUAAAUGACUAAUGGAAAAUUUAACAUGGAUAUAAGGAUCAGUGAUAUAGCUUCUUGACAAAAAGCUCAAAAGCAUUUUCAAUCCUCCAUAUCAUGAAUAUUCUUGCAAGAAUGUCUUAUCAUGAGUGAAUACAUUAUCUUAUAGCGUCUCAAUAUGAAUUAAUCAAGUAACAAGGUCACCAAUUUCUUAAUAUAACUCACCUCUUUUAUGAUGUUGAAUAUUGAUUCAAAUCUAACAACUUUAGUUACCUGCUGCAAGGGUUUAAUAUGAGCUCUUACAAGUCAUUAAUUAUUUUGGAUUGGGUCCCUUUUAUAUUUUCUUUUCUACAUGGUGUGCUAUUGAAUUGUUUGAUCUGUUGAUUCUAGAUCCUAUGGUAAGGCUGCUAUAAAAUGCUAUGGAAGUGUUAAUUAUGAAGGAGAGUAAGCUUAUAUCUGAUAUGCAUUUGAAUUCAUCACUUAAUGUCAUGUUUAUGCUCUAUUAUGUUUUCUAUUUGUCUCUUUGAUCUGUCAUCACUUAAUGUCAUGUCUAUUAUGCUCUAUUAUCUUAUGUUUGCUUAGAACAUGUUUGUUAUUGUUAUAACCAUAGCUAUCACUAAUUAGGUGCAUACUACUCUUAGAUGGAAUGAAAUAUUUGGUGAAAUUUGUGAAGGCAGUAGCUUUAUUCAUUAAUUUUUUUGGACUGUGUCCCUUUUAAAAUUUCUUUUCUACAUAGCGUGCUAUUGAAUUGUUUGAUCUAUUGAUUGAUUCUGUGGCGUAUGGUAAGGCUGCUAUAAAAUGAUAUGGAAGUGUUACUUAUGAAGGAGAGUAAUCUCCCAGUGUGAUAAUGAAGGUACUAAUUUAGUUUACCAUUGAGGCUUAUCUUUUUAUUUUUAUUUUUUUAUACUGUGCUUAGUGAUUUAGCUAUGAAGUGAGAAUAUUAAAACAAUAUUGAUUUUGAGUUUGCAUACUUACAUCAUGCAUUUUUAAUUUGCUUGGACAGUUUGCACUCUGAUUGGUCCAUGCUUCAAAUCUUUGCAUAAGCACUAUCCAGGCAUCAAGUGGCAUGAUUGUAGAUGCAAAUGCAACGCAAGAUGAACUGAUAUAUACUCCUACUAUUGUACAGUUCAUCACCAAAUGGUUUUGGUCUGCGCAUUUUGAUGUUCCUUUGUUCAGUGACGAACACACAGUCGGUUUCAAGGCUUAUACUUUAUCUCCAUGUUCUCUACAGCAGAACAUCCCAACAAGUGAGUUUAAUUGUUAUUCAAUUUCUCCAUUUUCUUUCUUCUUUUUCUUCCGGUGUUUUUCUUCCUAAUUUUGCUUGUAUCAUUGUUGCUUUUCAUCUUUAGAGGGUAAUAUAAAAGUUCAGCUUCAGGAAAAAAAAGAUAAAGGAUUAAUCCGAAGUCCCUUAUUGCACAUUAAAUAUUGUAGUCUCUUACUUUAAAUUCAUGUCUAUCUUAAGAAUUAACAUUUCCGAAUUUCAAUAACCAGGGAUUAUGAGUGAACCUCCAAUUCCCUGUUUUAAAUUGUGUUUUUAUUUUAACAAAAGGAUGCAUCUAACACUUGAUAGUGGAAAAUGUAUUUCGCAUAGAAUGAAAAGGAUAGAUAUGGAUUGUAAAAUUUGAAAUUUCUAGAUUAUUUGAUGAUUUAUUUUCUAAUAUUUGCUGAGAUUGUGUUUUUUGCGGAUAAAUUAUGGAUUAGCUUGAAAGUUUUGAUCAUCUGUGUUAUAAGAGAGUAUUAUAGUAUGGGGAAAUAUUGGUGGUGUUUGAUAUAGGUUACCUGGUUAUGCCUUUUUUCCUUUUUAAAUGCUAGAGGUAAAAAGAUUCUAACUUCUGCAUUAAUUUUCUCUGAUUAUGUCUCUUUGUGAUAUUUCAAUUAAUGGAAUUUCUUUAGUUUUGUUUGGUCGGUGGAAUGAGAUUUUUAUUGAGCAUGGCUUAAGUGAUGGGGAUUGAAACAUAAAUGAAAAACUUCUAUAUACACCAUGCAUGUUCUCAUUUAAACUAAUGAGGUGAAAAGUACAAGCAAUACUAAUGAGGGAACUUUAGAUUGUAGGAUAUGAUAGAAGAUUAUCAAUUUGGUUUGGGGCCUUAGAUCUAUAUGCGACAUGAUUUCCUAAAGAGGGAGGGACCUGGAGUUUGAAGUUAUCAACCAAAUUAAUGGAAAAAAGUAGCUGUGAUUAUUUUUGAAUUAUUGUUUAGAGGAAGAGAGAAAUAGAUUGAGUCUAUGUAUUGAUGUUUUUCUUUAAAGUAUAUCCUAAUGUACUCUUGCAUCCUUAUUGUGCAUUGAAACUUUUUUUUUCUUCAUAUUGUCAUGAUAAUGAUAAUUUAUGUGGUUGUUUUUGUAAAUUGAAUUUGGCUUCAUAUGAUAUAAUGAGAUUGGCCUAGAAAAGGCUUAUACA